AGGGGUAUAGCUUAGUGGUAGAGCAUCUGACUGUAGCUCAAGAGGUCCCUGGUUCAAGUCCGGAUUCCCCCU